AAAUUAUCCCACUACGGCUAAAUUUAAGUAUUCAAUCAUUACUUGUCGCAAAAUUAGCACUAUAAAAUAGUUAAUGUUCGAUGGUUCAUCACAUUUGUCGAGGAUCUUAACUUGAUACACUUUGAGCUACUAUUUGAAUAGCUAUGACCAUCGCAAAGUGUCUGUUUUUACUGUUGUUAGUUAUAUACAUGGCAGCCUUGGUUCAAUCCUGGGUGCCAAGGUUUAAUAAUUACCGCAGAAACCUGUGGAGAUACCGCAUGAUGUACCGGGGAGAUUCUGAUGACGAUGAUAGCUUCUAUGAUGACUAAACAAAUAACGGGAAUCAUAUAUACUGGCAUUAAUGGUGAUUUAAAGAACAAUCCCUCUACAGUUAUGCAUACAUUUCUGAGUUAAGUGUAUAACAGACAUAUAUGUAUAUUUAUAAAUCAAUCAUGUGAUAUAUUUUUUUUAUUUUUGAAGCUCAAUAAAGCUAUUUAUGACCA